CCUACGGGUGGCAGCAGUGAGGAAUAUUGGUCAAUGGGCGCGAGCCUGAACCAGCCAAGUAGCGUGAAGGAUGACUGCCCUACGGGUUGUAAACUUCUUUUAUAAAGGAAUAAAGUGAGGCACGUGUGCCUUUUUGUAUGUACUUUAUGACUCAGGAUAGGCUAACUCCGUGCCAGCAGCCGCGGUAAUACGGAGGAGCCGAGCUUUAUCCGGAUUUAUUGGGUUUAAAAGGAGCGUAGAUGGGUGGUUAAGUCAGUUGUGAAAUGUUGCGGAUCAACCGUAAAAUUGCAAUGGAUACUGGCAGUCUUGAGUACAGUUGAGGUAGGCGGAAUUCGUGGUGUAGCGGUGAAAUGCUGAGAUAUCACGAAGAACUCCGAUUGCGAAGGCAGCUUACGAAACUGCCACUGACAUUGAUGCUCGAAAGUGUGGGUAUCAAACAGGAUUAGAUACCCUAGUAGUC
rnacentral:rRNA from 1 species